GUCCACGCCCUAAACGAUGCGAACUGGACGUUGGGAGCAAUUAGGCUCUCAGUGUCGAAGCUAACGCGUUAAGUUCGCCGCCUGGGGAGUACGGUCGCAAGACUGAAACUCAAAGGAAUUGACGGGGCCCGCACAAGCGGUGGAGUAUGUGGUUUAAUUCGAUGCAACGCGAAGAACCUUACCUGGCCUUGACAUCCACGGAAUCCUUGAGAGAUCAGGGGAGUGCCUUCGGGAACCGUGAGACAGGUGCUGCAUGGCUGUCGU
rnacentral:rRNA from 1 species